GAUGAACGCUGGCGGCGUGCCUAAUACAUGCAAGUCGAGCGAACAGACGAGGAGCUUGCUCCUCUGACGUUAGCGGCGGACGGGUGAGUAACACGUGGAUAACCUACCUAUAAGACUGGGAUAACUUCGGGAAACCGGAGCUAAUACCGGAUAAUAUAUUGAACCGCAUGGUUCAAUAGUGAAAGACGGUUUUGCUGUCACUUAUAGAUGGAUCCGCGCCGCAUUAGCUAGUUGGUAAGGUAACGGCUUACCAAGGCAACGAUGCGUAGCCGACCUGAGAGGGGGAUCGGCCACAUGAGAACGUGAACACGGUCCAGACUCCUACGGGAGGCAGCAGUAGGGAAUCUUCCGCAAUGGGCGAAAGCUUGACGGAGCAACGCCGCGUGAGUGAUGAAGGUCUUCGGAUCGUAAAACUCGGUUAUUAGGGAAGAACAAAUGUGUAAGUAACUAUGCACUUCUUGACGGUACCGAAUCAGAAAGCCACGGCUAACUACGUG
rnacentral:rRNA from 1 species